UAUCACAGUACCAAUUCUGAGCUGUCAGAAGGCUGCUCUAUUUUAUUCUUUUUUUUCUCUCUCUGUGUGACACAUUUUAGCUUUCUACAAAAAGGGAAUAAAGGGGAAGCAGCUCCGGCUAGCCUUGGAAAAGCUAUUUAGCUUGCAUAUUGUGGAACUGUCUUCCCUAGCUAGUUACUGCCAUUUUAUAACACUGCAGCAUAUUGGAUCAAAGACUAGAACUGCCACCUCCUGUUUACAAUGGGCUGGAGCAGUCACAGAAUUGUCAGGGCUACUUUCUGUCUCGGUGUGAUUGGAAAUAAGACUGAAAACGGUACCUUAGCAAGAAGAUGUGCGUAUGCCUCUAAAGUUGGGUUUUCAAGAGACAAAAGAAACACAAACAAAAAACAUGGGUACUCACCAUGUUCUUAUAACACCAGCUAAGUGGGCUUUGACGUAUGCUGAGAUCAGAGAGCAAGAUGCAUGCUGCAUCAUGGGACCAAGGAUCUUAUGAGGAUAUUUGGUAUCUAUAAUAUACCAUCUGCAUGUGAUUUAAGUCACUCUCCAAG
rnacentral:lncRNA from 1 species